UGCUAAUUUUGGACUAAUCUAUUUGAAAAUCCAUAAACUCAUUUAUAUUAUGAAGAGGUGGGUUCAUGAUUUUUUGUAGAAUUUUCACAAGGUUCCUUCUCUCUCCUGAUGUGAAAAAACAGAUGAGAAGCGAGCGUAAGAUUCAAAUUUCGCGCGGUUCCUGCCUACUGAGUACUGAAGCACGUCAGAAGAAUGGAAUUUCGCCAUUCUAUUGGCCGGUUUCGGAAGGGACUCAUGUAUACAGACUCUAUCAAAAUUCAAUUCAUAGUUCAUACAAGGCAGCUCCUACACACAUCAGUUUGAAUUCAUUAUAGCGUUCGGAAUCACGGCGCCUGGAGUCUAUUAUUUACUUAACAAAUUCCUUUUAGUCUGGCAGUGAUAAGCUCAAAGCUGGCGGGUUCCAAUACUUGUAGUUGGCUAGUUUGCAGUUAGUACUUGAACUGUAUGUUAGUGCACGGAGCUUUUCCUUUGUUUUCCCUUUGAAUAGUUUUAGUUUUGAUCUUUCGUUCUUUCUCUCUUACGUUCUAGCUUUAUAAUACGUUAUAGGUACAUACAUAUAGGUCCACAUUUUUAUUAUAAAGCAAGAGGAACAUCACCAGCAUGUUUCAAUUUUCAAUGCGAGAACUGUGAUGCCAUAAUGGCAGAAGCCACUUUCUUGUCUACAUCUCAAAUAAUAGAAAUUGCACGGGCGUGAAAUCUACGUACAGCAGUGAUGAGAUUCUGGAAUUCCAUUGUCUGCAAUGUCUACUCCUAAUCUCCUAUAAUUGAAGAGCAGAUGAAAGAAGCUGUAGUUUUGCAAAAUUUCAUGUUCGAUGAUGAUGCUGAUGAUUAUGAGAAUUCUCAAUUUCAACAACCUCCGGCCACUUCCUCCUUCAACGAUAAACUGUCGGUUCCUGCUGCCUAGAACCAUAUAUAAAGGAUAAUAUUUAUAUUUCUUGUCUCUACUAGAACGUAGUGGUCAUUUUAUAAUCACUCCUUCCAUUACCAACACACAAGCCAAGGGCUCAUGUGGGUAUCACACUCCAAAAAUAA